rnacentral:rRNA from 1 species
CACGUAGGGUGCGAGCGUUGUCCGGAAUUAUUGGGCGUAAAGAGCUCGUAGGCGGUGUGUCGCGUCGGCCGUGAAAACCUGCAGCUUAACUGUGGGCGUGCGGUCGAUACGGGCAUCACUGGAGUUCGGCAGGGGAGACUGGAAUUCCUGGUGUAGCGGUGAAGUGCGCAGAUAUCAGGAGGAACACCGGUGGCGAAGGCGGGUCUCUGGGCCGAUACUGACGCUGAGGAGCGAAAGCGUGGGGAGCGAACAGG